GAAUGUUUUUCAAUGGGCUCGAUAGUCCAUUUUACAAACUGUCAAAGACUUCCAUAAUUUGAAAAAGUAAAGAGCUUGUAAAGGGAAUUAAUUAUUCCAAACAGAAGAUCAUGGAUUAUGUUUUAGUUUACCAAAGUUCGAUCUGUGCCAUUAAAGAUUCCCGCACCACCAGAAGCGAAGCUGACACCGGUCAUAAAGGAGGAGGUAUUCUGUGGCGAGACGGAGAGGUAUGGCGGUGAAGUAGGUAAGCCCACUUUCUGAGCUGCACAAUUUAUAUAUAUUAUUAAAUAAGACAACGAACCCAGAAAGCAGGGAACUACUGUUUAAUCAAGAGAGCAACUCGAUCUACGGGUUGCUUUGGUUACUUGCAAAGAAUUAGUACGUACAGUACAUACGGCUUGCUGUGCGAACUAUAACAUGCAAUAAAAAGAAGUUGUGUGUAUAUAUAUGUACAUGCGCGCGCAGCGUUUCACUUUGUCUAAAGCUAAUUAAGACAGGCACUGAUUCAGGAGAGAUGCAUGAGAUGGAUUUGAGCUUAAACAUAUUGGAAAGAAUGAUGUUAGCUAGAUUAAUUGGGAUUCUACUUCGGUAUACUGUGUGUAUUUAGAAUCUGGUAUAUAUAUAGCAUUAUAGAGUAAAGAUUUGUUAAUUAGAACAUCUUUUUAAUUAUUUAUAAUAUACAUGCAUGCAUGGAACUCACCGAGGAAAUCCGCUGCGUUCUUCCCAUUACUAAACCUUCCUGUAGCUUUCUUUGUAGGAAAAUCGAUGCCGUUGUGAGGGAAAUCUGCUUUGGCAACCGACACUGGGAGGUAAUUGUUGUUGCCCACAUCUACCAGGGAGUCACCAAAAACAAAAAUGGCUGGCACCAUUUGAGCGUUGGCGAAUUUGAGGCUCAGGACAAGGGCAAAACCAACCAAGAAACUCGGAAGAAAUGACUUGUUGCCCAUUUUCCUAGCUAUGAACAAAAGCACACUUCCCAAGAGUGUAUAUAUAGAUACAUAAAUGUCUUGGAACGAUCUCUUGUUAUUGCUGUAGCUAGAUAUUAUUACGAUGAGAUGAAAGCAUUGCGGGUCUAUCUUUGUUUUUUUCUUUUCUUCUUAGUGUGAAAAUAAGAUAUUAAAAGGGAUGCUGCGUGGGAACUUGAGAGUUCGCAAAGGCAACUCCACCAAUUUUCAAUUAUAAAUGUUGCUAUCAUAAAAGACCACUACGCUGUUUUAUUUCAAAUCUACCAAUAGUUCACUUAAAGGAAAUGAGUUAUGUGCGUGAGUUCAUGUUUUAUUUUGUAAAAACUUCCCCUUUGUGUUGGUCUUUGAUGCCUAAUUUACUUCAGUUUACCAUGUGUUGGUCUUUGAUGCCUAAUUUACUUCAGUUUACCAUGCAUCACGCAUACACACUGUUCUUGCUGAUGGCUUUGUUGUGUGAAUGGCGCUGGACUUCUAGACUCGCUUGGGAUUUUGUCUGUAACUGCGUUCACAAGGCUGGAUAUGGCGCUGGACUUCUAGACUCGCUUGGGAUUUUGUCUGUAACUGCGUUCACAAGGCUGGAUAUGGCGCUGGACUUCUAGACUCGCUUGGGAUUUUGUCUGUAACUGCGUUCACAAGGCUGGAUCAGAAAUGAAUUAGAAUCCCAUCAGUCUAUCUGACGAUCAAACCAGUCUUCAAUCUCUUGAAUAAUAGUAACGCUUACAACAAUUUUAAUUCAAUCCCCUCUAUACUUUGUAGAGGUAUCAGCAGCUAAAUGUGCAGUACAGUAUCGGUCGGUGUUUUGCUCUGCUUCAAUUUUGAUUGUCCAUGGAUGCAUGCGCGUCAUGUAACUAUCAGAUGUGUGUAUGAAAUCAAAUUUCGAAACCAUGUCGGCUAUUACUGUUAAAUGGAUGGGACCUAUCUAGUACCUACAUGGGAGGGAAGCUAGCCAGAAGUCUAUUCGUUGAUCAAGUCUCAGCAUUCAAUGUCUAGAGACUGCUGAAAAAUAGUUUUCAGGUCUCGUUUCUCUUUUAUCUCUCUCUGUUUGUUUGUGUGAGGCCAAUUAUAUGGCUAAUAAUUUUGUAAAAUAAGAUGUGAGAAGAACAUAUACGACUUCGUAGCUUGAAUUUAAGAGUUAGUUUUGGAUAUACUCG
rnacentral:lncRNA from 1 species